CACUACGCUUUGCUUCC
rnacentral:misc_RNA from 1 species